rnacentral:tRNA from 1 species
GUGGUCGUAGCUCAAUGGCAGAGCGCCAGCUUGUGGAGCUGGAUGUUGCGGGUUCGACCCCCGUCGACCACC